UACGUAGGGUGCAAGCGUUGUCCGGAAUUAUUGGGCGUAAAGAGCUCGUAGGCGGUCUGUCGCGUCGGCUGUGAAACCCCGGGGCUCAACCCCGGGCCUGCAGUCGAUACGGGCAGACUAGAGUGCGGUAGGGGAGACUGGAAUCUCUGGUGUAGCGGUGAAAUGCGCAGAUAUCAGAGGGAACACCGGUGGCGAAGGCGGGUCUCUGGGCCGUAACUGACGCUGAGGAGCGAAAGCGUGGGGAGCGAACAGG
rnacentral:rRNA from 1 species